UACGGGGGGGGCAAGCGUUGUUCGGAAUUACUGGGCGUAAAGGGCUCGUAGGCGGUUCGUCACGUCGGGAGUGAAAACUCGGGGCUUAACCCCGAGCCUGCUUCCGAUACGGGCAGACUAGAGGUAGGCAGGGGAGAGCGGAACUCCUGGUGUAGCGGUGGAAUGCGCAGAUAUCAGGAGGAACACCGGUGGCGAAGGCGGGUCUCUGGGCAGUAACUGACGCUGAGGAGCGAAAGCGUGGGGAGCGAACAGG
rnacentral:rRNA from 1 species